ACGGAAGGCAGCAGUGGGGAAUAUUGCACAAUGGGGGAAACCCUGAUGCAGCAACGCCGCGUGAGUGAUGAAGUAUUUCGGUAUGUAAAGCUCUAUCAGCAGGGAAGAUAAUGACGGUACCUGACUAAGAAGCUCCGGCUAAAUACGUGCCAGCAGCCGCGGUAAUACGUAUGGAGCAAGCGUUAUCCGGAUUUACUGGGUGUGAAGGGUGCGUAGGCGGUAUGGCAAGUCAGAUGUGAAAGACCGGGGCUCAACUCCGGGGCUGCAUUUGAAACUGCCAGACUGGAGUACAGGAGAGGCAGGCGGAAUUCCUAGUGUAGCGGUGAAAUGCGUAGAUAUUAGGAGGAACACCAGUGGCGAAGGCGGCCUGCUGGACUGUUACUGACGCUGAGGCACGAAAGCGUGGGGAGCAAACAGGAUUAGAUACCCUGGUA
rnacentral:rRNA from 1 species